CCUGGCAAUGAUGAUGAUCAAAUAUAUUUUUUGAGUUUCACGACCGUGAAAUUACUUUAACAUGCACUACCAUCUGAGCCUGG